rnacentral:rRNA from 1 species
UACGUAGGGUGCAAGCGUUAAUCGGAAUUACUGGGCGUAAAGCGUGCGCAGGCGGUUAUGUAAGACAGUUGUGAAAUCCCCGGGCUCAACCUGGGAACUGCAUCUGUGACUGCAUAGCUAGAGUACGGUAGAGGGGGAUGGAAUUCCGCGUGUAGCAGUGAAAUGCGUAGAUAUGCGGAGGAACACCGAUGGCGAAGGCGGCAUCCUGGACCGGUAUUGACGCUGAGGCGCGGAAAGCCCAGGGGAGCAAACGGG